UACGUAGGGUGCAAGCGUUGUCCGGAAUUAUUGGGCGUAAAGAGCUCGUAGGCGGUCUGUUACGUCGGCUGUGAAAACCUGGGGCUCAACCCCGGGCCUGCAGCCGAUACGGGCAGACUAGAAUUCGGUAGGGGAGACUGGAAUUCCUGGUGUAGCGGUGAAAUGCGCAGAUAUCAGGAGGAACACCGGUGGCGAAGGCGGGUCUCUGGGCCGAUAUUGACGCUGAGGAGCGAAAGCGUGGGGAGCGAACAGG
rnacentral:rRNA from 1 species